UACGGAGGAUCCGAGCGUUAUCCGGAUUUAUUGGGUUUAAAGGGUGCGUAGGCGGUUUGAUAAGUUAGAGGUGAAAUGUCGGGGCUCAACCCCGAAACUGCCUCUAAUACUGUUGGACUAGAGAAUAGUUACGGUAGGCGGAAUGUAUGGUGUAGCGGUGAAAUGCUUAGAGAUCAUACAGAACACCGAUUGCGAAGGCAGCUUACCAAACUAUAUCUGACGUUGAGGCACGAAAGCGUGGGUAGCAAACAGG
rnacentral:rRNA from 1 species